rnacentral:misc_RNA from 1 species
UUUCCGUAGGUGAACCUGCGGAAGGAUCAUUACAGAGAAAUUGCCCUUCGGGUAGAUCUCCCACCCUUUGUUUACAUUACCUUUGUUGCUUUGGCAGGCCCGUCUUUUGACCGCUGGCUUAGGCUGGUCCGUGCCUGCCAGAGAACCCUAAACUCUUGAUUUUUGUGUCGUCUGAGUAACAUUAUAAUAAGUUAAAAACUUUCAACAACGGAUCUCUUGGUUCUG